rnacentral:rRNA from 1 species
GAUGAACGCUGGCGGCGUGCCUAAUACAUGCAAGUCGAGCGAACAGACGAGGAGCUUGCUCCUCUGACGUUAGCGGCGGACGGGUGAGUAACACGUGGAUAACCUACCUAUAAGACUGGGAUAACUUCGGGAAACCGGAGCUAAUACCGGAUAAUAUGUUGAACCGCAUGGUUCAAUAGUGAAAGACGGUUUUGCUGUCACUUAUAGAUGGAUGCGGGCCGCUUUAGCUAGUUGGUAAGGUAACGGCUUACCAAGGCAACGAUGCGUAGCCGACCUGAGAGGGGGAUCGGCAACCUUGAAACUGAGACACGGCCCAGACUCCUACGGGAGGCAGCAGGAGGGAAUCUUCCGCAAUGGGCGAAAGCCUGACGGAGCAACGCCGCGUGAGUGAGGAAGGUCUUCGGAUCGUAAAACUCUGUUAUUGGGGAAGAACAAAUGUGUAAGUAACUAUGCAGGUCUGGACGGUACCUCAGCAGAAGGCCACGGCUAACUACGU